rnacentral:rRNA from 1 species
UUCUCUGGUGUUGAAGGCCCUGCAAAGCAGCAUCGCGGUGGCGGAGCGUCGUUUGCGACGCCCAACACACAAAACAAGCGGUGAAUGCUUUGGGGUGGGGUGACUGCGUACCUUUUGUAUAAUGGGUCAGCGACUUAUAUUCUGUAGCAAGGUUAACCGUAUAGGGGAGCCGUAGGGAAACCGAGUCUUAACCGGGCGUUAAGUUGCAGGGUAUAGACCCGAAACCCGGUGAUCUAGCCAUGGGCAGGUUGAAGGUUGGGUAACACUAACUGGAGGACCGAACCGACUAAUGUUGAAAAAUUAGCGGAUGACCUGUGGCUGGGGGUGAAAGGCCAAUCAAACCGGGAGAUAGCUGGUUCUCCCCGAAAGCUAUUUAGGUAGCGCCUCGUGAAUUCAUCUCCGGGGGUAGAGCACUGUUUCGGCUAGGGGGCCAUCCCGGCUUACCAACCCGAUGCAAACUGCGAAUACCGGAGAAUGUUAUCACGGGAGACACACGGCGGGUGCUAACGUCCGUCGUGAAGAGGGAAACAACCCAGACCGCCAGCUAAGGUCCCAAAGUCAUGGUUAAGUGGGAAACGAUGUGGGAAGGCCCAGACAGCCAGGAUGUUGGCUUAGAAGCAGCCAUCAUUUAAAGAAAGCGUAAUAGCUCACUGGUCGAGUCGGCCUGCGCGGAAGAUGUAACGGGGCUAAACCAU